ACUUGAAGUAAUAUCCUCUAGUUUAUCCAUAUUAUCCUAUUUGUUAUUGCUUGAUCUUUAUAUAUUGCUUGAUUAUCCUGGUUUUGCUGCUCAUGUGUGGCUUGUGUGAUCCCCCAAUGCAGGUUUAAAUCGGCAUGUAAGUGAAGGCGUAUUUCUCCUUCACGCCUUAGACGUUGACCCCCCUCCCCCUGGUGUAGUACUGUUUAAUCAGGCAGACCCGUUCUGGCUCACAAUACCAUUUCUCUUUUUCUAAAAUCCAGGAAAUCAUCAUCUUUUGAAAGAUUCAAGGACGUUCGAGGAGUGACCAAAACCAUUGAAGACUUUGCUGAGCGAGGCAAGCAACCUACUUUGAUCAUGUUGAACCCAUAUUUGCAUUACACUUACAAUUAUUUUUCAUGCAUAAAGUAUUGUUUACUAGUAUUGCUAUGUUUAGUAAAUUAGCUAGGGUUUAACUACCCUAUGUCCUUGAUAUUAACACCCCUUUGACAUUCUUAUGCUAAGUAAAUUAGCUAGGGUUUAGCUAUGCUCUAUAUGCUUGGUAUUGACACCCUCCUUUGACAUUCUUAAUACCCCUCCUUUCUAACCAUGUAGUGGUCAAAUAAACGUGGGUUGUAUGUGCAAGUUUAAUAGUAAUGCUUAGCCAUGCUAGUCGCAUAAAUCAUAGGACUUGGGAAGAAUCUUUAUUACUCAUAAAUGUUUUACAAAAACCCAAGGGUGUCACUAAUGCCCAUGGGAUGAUUCUGAAAAUAAGGUUUUACAAAAUGGAGAUGAAGUGGAGAUUUAGUUAGGUGAUUGUGAUCUUGACGAGUAUAGUCAAAGAUGUCAGUGGAUUAUGAAAAUUUAUGUAUAGUAAAUGAGCAUGGUGGUUAUUAUAUUGGCGGAUAAAUGGAUCUUUAAUAAACUUGAAGCAAUUUGGAUUUAGUUAGGCGAUUAUGAUCUUGAACCAAAUUUCAUGGUGGAUUACGAGAUUUUGAUGCAUUUAUUUAGUUCAUUGUGAUCUUGAGGAGAUAGUCAAAGAUGUUUGGUGGAUUAAUUAACCUUGGACAAUUUGGAUUUAGUUAGGUGAUUGUGAUAUUGAACCGUAUUUCAUGAUGGAUUAUGAGAUUUUAGGUGGAUUUAGUUACGUGAUUUAAUCUUGAGAAGAAAGUCUAAAAUGUUUGGUUGAUUAUGAGAGUUUAGGUAUGUAGAUGAGCAUGGUGAUUAUUAUAUUGGUGGAUAAAUAGAUUUUAAUUUUGUUUGGAACAUUUUGUAUUUAGUUAAGUGAUUGUGAUCUUAAGCCAAAUUUCACUGUGGAUUAUCAGGUGUUGCUUGGAUUUAGUUAGGUGGUGUGAUCUUGAUGAGCUAGUAAAAGAUGUUUUGGUGGAUUAUGUGAAUUUAGGUCUAGUAGGUGAGUAUGGUGUUAAUUAUAUCGGUUAAGUAAGUAAAUUUUAAUAAACUAGAGAAAAUUUGGAUUUAGUUAGGCGAUUGUGAUCUUGAACCAAAUUUCAUGGUGGAUUACGAGAUUUUAGAUAGAUUUAGUCAGUUGAUUGUGAUCUUGAGGAGAUACUCAAAGAUAUUUGAUGGAUUAAUUAACCUUGAACAGUUUGAAUUUAGUUAGGCUACUUCGAUAUUGAGCCGAAUUUCACGAUGAUUUAUGUGAUUUUAGGUGGAUUUAGUUAAGUUAUUAUGCUCUUGAGAAUAUGGUCAAAGAUGUUCAGUGGAUGUUAAGAUUUUAGGUCUAGUACGUGAGCAUGGUGACUAUUAUAUUAGUGGAUAAACAGACCUUUAAUUUAGUUUGAAACAAUUUGAAUUUAGUUAGAUGAUUGUGAUAUUUUAAGCAAAUUCACGGUGGAUUUUGAUGUUUGGGUUAGAUUUAGUUAGGUGAUUGUGAUCCUCGCGAGAUAAUCAAAGAUGUUCGAUGGAUUAUGUGAGAAUUUAUGUCUAGUAAGUGAGCAUGGUGGUUAUUAUAUUGGUGGAUAAAUGGAUUUUUAGUAAAUUUCGAGUAAUUUGGAUUAGUUAGGCGAUUGUGAUUUUGAAUCAAAUUUCAUGGUGAAUUACGAGAUUUUAAAUUAAUUUAAUUAGUUGAUUGAGAUCUUGAGGAGAUAGUCCAAGAUGUUCGGUUGAUUAAUUAAUCUUUUAUUGACACAGUACAGACGCGAGUGCUCAUAUAAACGCGCAUACACUUACCCUUAUGAACGCACACACGCACACCCUAUCCUUAUGAGCACCUUUGAGAGACUGAGUUGGCAUAUCAUCUUGAGAUUUUACAAAGUUACCGUAGGCGUCUCGUAGUCGACAGGAACAAUUUGGAUUUAGUUCGAUGAUUGAACCAAAUUUCUCGGUGAUUUAUUUGAUUUUAGAUGGAUUUAUUUAGGUGAUUGUGCCUUGAGAAGAUAGUCAAUGUUCGUUGGAUUAUGAGAUUUUAGUUAUGGAAAUGAGCAUGAUAUUUAUUACAUUGGUAGAUAAACAUAUAUUUGAGUUAGUUUGGAUCAAUUUGGAUUUAGGUAUGUGAUUAUGAUCUUUUAACCAAAAUUUUACGGUGGAUUAUGAGGUUUUUGUUAGAUUUAGUUAGGUGAUUGAGAUCUUGACGAGCUAGUAAAAUAUGUUCGGUAGAUUAUGUGAAUUUAGGUCUAGUAGGUGAGCAUGUUGGUUAUUAUAUUGGUGGAUAAAUGGAUUUUUAGCAAACUUGGAAAAGAUUGGCUUUAGUUAGGCGAUUGUGAUCUUGAACCAAAUUUUAUGGUGAAUUAUGAGAUUUUUUAUGGAUUAGUUAGUUGAUUGUGAUCUUGAGGAGAUAGUCAAAGAUAUUCUAUGAAUUAUUUAAUCAUAUACAGUUUGGAUUUAGUUAGGUGAUUGUUAUAUUGAGCUAAAUUUCUCUGUGAUUUAUGAGACUUUAGUUGGAUUUAGUUAGGUGAUUGUGUCUUGAUGAGAAGAUAAUCAAAGAUGUUUGGUGGAUUAUGAGAUUUUAGGUCUAAUAACUGAGCAUGGUGAUUAUUAUAUUGGUGGAUAAACAAAUAUUUAAUUUAGUUUGAAACAAUUUGGUUUAGUUCGGUGAUUGUGAUCUUUUAACCAAAUUUUAGGGCGGAUUAUAAGGUUUUGGUUGGAUUUAGUUAGGUGAUUUUGAUUUUGACAAGCUAGUAAAAGAUGUUAAGUGGAUUAUGUGAAUUUAGAUCUACUAGGUGAGCAUGUUGAUUAUUAUAUUGGUUGAUAGAGAUGAGAGCCCACAAGUGAGUCAAGGCAAUGAUGCCACUACUGAAAAUAAUUGGUAAACAAGGCAACAGAGAAGAGACCGGGGUAGUGGCAGCAGAUGGACUUUGAUCCAGCAUCCCACGUGCCUGUGCACUCUCCAUUCCCCGCUGAUCCGGCUUGCUGUCCUUGUCCUGUUUGCGGAUUUUGUGUCACGCACUUGAUUAAGCAUCCCACGUUCUCCUAAUGUGCGCCCUUGGCCUUGACGAUAGAUAGCGCCGUGUUCUCGGGCGUGUCCCGUGGGUAAAAUUCAGGUAUGCGUCGAUUGUCUGAGCUCUUGCUCGCCAUUGGUGGUGCUUGAGCGUGCGGUCAUGGUGUUGCCCAGCAAGGGAACACGGGAGUGGGAUCAAGACAGCACACAUAGCAACCCGUCACCAGGCAACGGACACCCGUCCACACUUAUAGGGAGUGAAGGUGGACACAAAGGUGGAUGUUGAGAUCCAUAGCAGUCUCAAAAGUGUGCUCAUUAGUAAGACCAACACGAGCAAGAAGAUCGUGGAUAUACUCCUCUUAGGAAAUAAAGAAGCCAUUAGAGGUAGAAGAAACCUCAAUCUCAAGGAAGUAGCAACUUCUUUAGUAAACAUGAAGCAAUUUGGAUUUAGUUAGGGCAUUGUGAUAUUGAACCAAAUUUCAUGUUGGAUUACGAGAUUUUAGAUGGGUGUAGUCAGUUGAUUGUGAUCUUGAGGAGAUAGUCAAAGAUAUUUGAUGGAUUAAUUAACCUUGACCAAUUUGAAUUUAGUUAGGCUAUUAUGAUAUUGAGCCAAAUUUCACGAUGAUUUAUGUGAUAUUAGGUGGAUUUAAAUAAGUUAUUAUGAUCUUGAGAAGAUAGUCAAAGAUGUUCGGUGGAUGUUAAGAUUUUAGGUCUAGUACGUGAGCAUGGUGACUAUUAUAUUAGUGGAUAAACAGACGUUUAAUUUAUAGAUGAUUGUGGUCUUUUAAUUUAGUUAGAUGGUUGUGAUCUUUUAAGCAAAUUCACGGUGGAUUUUGAUGUUUGGGUUAGAUUUAGUUAGGUGAUUAUGAUCCUCACGAGAUAGUCAAAGAUGUUUGAUGGAUUAUGUGAGAAUUUAUGUCUAGUAAGUGAGCAUGGUGUUUAUUAUAUUGGUGGAUAAAUAGAUUUUUAGUAAACUUGGAGCAAUUUGGAUUUAGUUAGGCGAUUGUGAUUUUGGACCAAAUUUAAUGGUGAAUUACGAGAUUUUAAAUGGAUUGAAUUAGUUGAUUGAGAUCUUGAGGAGAUAGUCCAAGAUGUUUGGUUGAUUAAUAAAUCUUUUUUAACACGGUACAUACGCAAGUGCUCAUAUAAGCGUGCAUACACUCACCCCUAUGAACGCACGCACGCACACUUCGAGAGACUGAGCCGACAUAUCAUCUCUAGAUUGUACGAAGUCACCAUAGGCGUCUCGUAGUCGACAGAAACAAUUUGGAUUUAGUUCGGUGAUUGAACCAAAUUUCUCGGUGAUUUAUUUCAUUUUAGGUGGAUUUAGUUAGGUGAUUGUGUCUUGAGAAGAUAGUCAAUGUUCAUUGGAUUAUGAGAUUUUAGUUAUGGAAAUGAGCACAGUGAUUAUUAUAUUGGUAGAUAUAUAGAUAUUUGAUUUAGUUUGGAUCAAUGUGGAUUUAGGUAGGUGAUUAUGAUCUUUUAACCAAAAGUUUACGAUGGAUUAUGAGGUUUUUGUUGGAUUUAGUUAGGUGAUUGGGAUCUUGACGAGCUAGUAAAAGUUGUUUGGUAGAUUAUGUGAAUUUAGGUCUAGUAGGUGAGCAUGUUGGUUAUUAUAUUUGUGGAUAAAUGGAUUUUUAGCAAACUUGGAAAAAAUUGGAUAUAGUUAGGCGAUUGUGAUCUUGAACCAAAUUUUAUGAUAGAUUAUGAGAUUUCUUAUGGAUUAGUUAGUUGAUUGUGAUCUUGAGGAGAUAGUCAAAGAUAUUCUGUGUAUUAAUUAAUCCUAUACAAUUUGGAUUUAGUUAGGUGAUUGUGAUAUUGAGCUAAAUUUCUCUGUGAUUUAUGAGAUUUUAGUUGGAUUUAGUUAGGUGAUUGUGUCUUAUGAAGAUAAUCAAAGAUGGUUGGUGGAUUAUGAGAUUUUAGGUCUAAUAACUGAGCAUGGUGAUUAUUAUAUUGGCGGAUAAACAAAUAUUUAAUUUAGUUUGAAACAAUUUGGAUUUAGUUUGGUGAUUGUGAUCUUUUAACCUAAUUUUACGGUGGAUUAUAAGGUGAUUGUGAUUUUGACAAGCUAGUAAAAGAUGCUCGGUGGAUUAUGUGAAUUUAGGUCUAGUAGGUGAGCAUGUUGAUUAUUAUAUUGGUUGAUAGAGAUGAGGGCCACACAAGUGAGUCAAGGCGAUGAUACCACCACUGAAAAUAACUGGUAAACAAGGCAACAGAGGAGAGACUGGGGGUAGUGGCAGCAGAUGGACUUUGAUCCAGCAUCCCACAUGCCUGUGCACUCUCCGUUCCCCGCUGAUCCGGCUUGGUGUCAUUGUCCUGUUUGCGGAUUUUGUGUCACGCACUUGAUUAAGCAUCCCACGUUCUCCUAAUGCGCGCCCUUGGCCUUGACGAUAGGUAGCGCCGUGUUCUCGGGCGUGUCCCGUGGGUAAAAUUCAGGUAUGCGUCGAUUGUCUGAGCUCUUGCUCCCAUUGGUGGUGCUUGAGCGUGCGGUCAUGGUGUCGCCCAGCAAGGGAACACGGGAUGUGGGAUCAAGACAGCACACAUAGCAACCCGUCACCAGGCAACGGACGCCCGUCCGGACUUACAGGGAGUGGAGGUGGACACAAAGGUGGAUGUUGAGCUUCAUAGCAGUCUCAAUAGUGUGCCCACCAGUAAGAGCAACAUGAGCAAGAAGAUCCUGGAUAUACUCCUCUUAGGAAAUAAAGAAGCCAUUAGGGGUAGAAGAAACCUCAAUCUCAAGGAAGUAGCGAUUUCUUUAGUAAAUAUGGAGCCAUUUGGAUUUAGUUAGUCGAUUGUGAUCUUGAACAAAUUUCAUGGUGAAUUACGAGAUUUUUCAAUGGAUUUAGUUGAUUGUGAUCUUGAGGAGAUGGUCAAAGAUGUUCGGUGUAUUAAUUAAUCUUGAACAAUAUGGAUUUAGUCAGGUGAUUGUGAUACUGGACCAAAUUUCUCUGUGAUUUAUGAGAUUUUAGUUGGAUUUAGUUAGGUGAUUGUGUCUUGAGAUGAUAAUAAAAAAUAUUUUAUGGAUCAUGAGAUUUUAGGUCUAGUAGAUGAGCAUGGUGGUUAUUAUAUUGGUGGAUAAACAAAUCUUUGAUUUAGUUUGGAACAAUUUUCAACCAAAUUCACGGUGGAUUUUGAGGUUUUGUUGGAUUUAGUUAGGUGACUGUGAUCUCAACGAGUUAAUCAAAGAUGUUUGGUGAAUCAUGUUAGUUUAGAUCUAGUAAGUGAGCAUGGUGGUUAUUAUAUUGAUGGAUAAAUGGGUCUUUAGUAAACAUGGAGCAAUUUGGAUGUAGUUAGGUGAUUUUGAUCUUGAACAAAUUUCACGGUGGAUUACGAGAUUUUCAAUAGAUUUAGUUAGUAGAUUGUGAUCUUCGGAAGAUGUCAAAGAUGUUCUGUGGAUUAAUUAAUGUUAAACAAUUUGGAUUUAGUUAGAUGAUUGCAAUAUUGAACCAAAUUUCUCUGUGGUUGAGAUUUUAGUUGGAUUUAGUUAGGUGAUUGUGUCUUGAGAUGAUAAUCAAAGAUGUUUGAUGGAUUAUGAGAUUUUAGGUCUAGUAGAUGAGCAUGGUGGUUACUAUAUUGGUGGAUGAACAGAUAUUUAAUUUAGUUUGGAACAAUUUGGAUUUCGUUAGGUGAUUGUGAUCUUGAACCAAAUUUUAUGGUGGAUUAUGAGAGUUUUGAUGGAUUAGUUAGUUGAUUGUGAUCUUGAGGAGAUAGUCAAAGAUGUUUGGUGUAUUAAUUAAUCUUGAACAAUUUGGAUUUAGUUAGGUGAUUGUGAUAUUGAACCAAAUUUCUCUGUGAUUUAUGAGAUUUUAGUUGGAUUUAGUUAGGAGAUUGUCUCUUAAGAAAGUAGUGAAACAUGUUGGUGGAUUAUGAGAUUUAGGUCUAAUAGUUGAGCAUGAUGAUUAUUAUAUUGAUGGAUAAAUGAAUCUUUAAUAAAUUUGGAACAAUUUGGAUUUAGUUAGCGGACUGUGAUCUUUAACCAAAUUUUAUGGCCAUGCUCCGCCUCUUCCUCGAGGAGCUUGUGCAGUGCGGUGGUGCGGCGGCUCGUGCGGCGUGCGGUGGCCUCAGAAGAUGGGCGUUGACACCUGCAGCUUGUGCACAAUGAUGACUCCAUGUAUCUCCUGCGCCCCGCAACCCUCUCCUUCCCGGCAUAGGAGGAGCAGGAGCAAGGAUGCCGAGGUGGUUCAGGUGAAUGGUGCUUUAGCUUCAAUGACCAAUUUUAUUGCUGAAUAUUUUUCCCAUUGAAAGUGUCAAAGAAUAUACAACUUGUCGCAAGGAAGAGUAGGAAGAUCAGUCAGAGAGGGUUUCACAUACCCCUUCUACACUGACAAGUCUUUGCUUUUCAGGAUUGCCAUGUCUGUUGGCUACUGCAGGGAGCUUUGGAUGGCGGUCUUGAUAUUGCGCACAGUGACAAGAGAUUGCUGGCUUCAAGAAGGAUAAGAAGCAGCUGGGCGGUGAGAUUUACCGCAAAUACAUCUAUGAAGGUCAUGUUGCUGACUACAUGAAGUCAAUAGCUGAUGAGGAAUCUAAGAAGUACCAAUCUCACUUCAGUGAGUACAUCAAGAAGAAUAUUGCGGCCGAUGACAUGGAAGCACUGUACAAGAAGGUUCACGCUACCAUUCGUGCUUAUCCUACCAUGGCAAAAUCAACGAAGGAACCUCCAAAGACGCACAAGAUGCAUGAUGAACUACACGCUAAAGUUCAGCUGAAGUUCCCCUGUUAUCUUCUACUACAAGAGUUCUGUCGAUUUGUACUACUUGGCUGCAAAUGUAUGCCGUUUGCAUCACCAUACGGAUAGUGGUUUGUUCUUCUGGCAUUAUUGAUGGUUCUCAUCAUAGCCAUACUGAAUGAUGGCAAGUGGCAUCUCUGAAUUUAUCAUAUGAAUUAUGACUUUAUGAGCUUGCUUGGCUACUGACCUGCUGUGUGGGAAGGGCAUCCUUUUACCAGAGCUAUAUUGAUUUUAAUAUGCUCCAUUUCCUUCAGGGUUUCUGAAUAUACUCGCAAGUCGCAACCAUGGCCUUACAGUGCUACACGCCUCUGCUGAAGCCCCAACUGGCCCAAGUCUCGGUCAACCCUUCCAUUAACACGAUACAGAUUCCAGAGUCAGUGCUCCGCCCCUCUGCUGAAGCCCUUACUGGCCCAAGUCUCGGCCAGCCCUUCUCUAAAUCGAUGCAGAUUGCAGAUUUGCCUUGCACCAAUAUGCUCCUUGCAUAAGCUAGUAAUCUCUGGCCAUAUUUCAUUUUUUAUCCUACUUGCAUCAUGCCUGAUGACUUUUUUUGUGCCACCAAUUUUAGUGUAUGUUCGAGGUGUAGCAGAUUUUACGGAUCUUUUUUGUGUGUCAUUGCUUCAUCAAAUGGGAAUUUAAGUAAUGGGAGAUUCGUCAAAUGGAAAUUUAAACCAAUUUAUGAUUUGGUGAGGAAUCUAUAUAUAUUAGUGUGUGUUGUUACGUUGAGCUCUAAAUAACGGGGAGCACACAAAAUUACAUUCAAUCCAAAUAGGGCUGGUGUUUGCAUCUGUAUUCUGUAGUUCUGUAUGUUGAAUUCAAAUAAACUGCUUCUUUUUGGGUGUUCAUUUUCGUCUUAAUAAUGGUGAUUGUUAUUCACUUGGAAUCAUCAUGUAAACCUAGCUGGACAUGGUCAAACUAUAAUUUUCCAUGUUUCAAAAUAUUAUAUGGUUUAGUACUUUGUUCUGAGAGUCUUUCUUCCCAGAAUGGAUUUUUUCCCAGUAUUCUCCUAAAUCUUUUUGUGGUGUCUUGAUGUGAUCUGGUCAUCAUGCAUGAACUGUAUUGAAUUCUUGUAAGGAAGCAUUUGAAUGUUACUUGUCCUGGUCUAAUUAUCUGCAAUCCACAGGUUAUGGAACUGCACUUGCAUUGGUAGCAGGAAUGACCUUGCUUGGGCGACCUUCUCUGUUAUGAUAUUGUUGUCUAAGUUAAAAAAACCUGAAUCUGCUCCAUGGUUUUGUUAUGUUGGAUGUGCCCCAAGAAGCUUCUUUCUUUUGAUUUUUGUUGUCAAUAUAUUCUGUGGAUGCUCCUCAUACUCAUUAUGAAACGUUCUUCAUAACUAUGGCGAAUCACAUGAAGUUCAAAUGUUAGCAUAGCUACUAAGUUGUAUGUUCGGCAAUGACACAAUGCAUAGGUCAAGUGUUAGUUUUCUGAAACUAUUGUACUGUGAACUGAUGCUAACUUCCUCACUGUAGUUUGGCCAACAUCGAGCUGCGGUACCUGGAGUUGAUGUGGAGGAAAAGACCUUAGCAAGACUAUUGACCGUCGCCUUGCAACUCAAUUUCUUCAGAAGUGUCUUGGCCUAAGAUAUGACAACUUGAGAAUUCAGAUUUUCUGUAGCGCAGAACCCAUUAGCUCCUAUCUUUGUGCUAGCUAAACUUGAACUUAAGUUGUAGUGUUGUAGUCAAAUUAUUUAUGUACUGAAUUUUUGUUCUUUUAUGUGCAUUGGCGUGUCAAUUUCUGUUCUUGUUUUCCUGCAAAAUAAUAAUAAUCUGUUCUUGUUUC